UGCCUAACACAUGCAAGUCGAACGAAAAAGUGUGGCUGUAGCAAUACAGCUGCACCUGAUAAAGUGGCGAACAGGGUGAGUAACACGUAGCAUAACCUACCCUCGAGCGGGGAAUAACCCGGGGAAACCAUGAGCUAAUACCGCAUAACAUUCCGGUGACUUAAGCCACUCGGGAUCAAAGGCCCGCAAGGUGCCACUUGAGGAGGGGGCUGCGCCCGAUUAGCUAGUUGGUGGGGUAAUGGCCUACCAAGGCGAUGAUCGGUAGCCGGCCUGAGAGGGCGCACGGCCACACUGGACACUGAGAUACGGGCCAUGACUCCUACGNGGAGGCAGCAGUGGGGAAUUUUGCACAAUUGCCCGAAAGGGUGAUGCAGCAACGCCGACGUGAGGGAUGAAGGCCCUCGGGUCGUUAACCUCUUUCGAUCGGGACAAAAUGGGCGGGUUGAAGAGCCCGUUCUGAUAGGUACCGGAUGAAGNAGCCCCGGCCAAACUACGUGCCAGC
rnacentral:rRNA from 1 species